rnacentral:tRNA from 1 species
GGCGAUAUGGCCAAGUGGUAAGGCUAAGGUCGGCAAGACCUUUAUUCCCUAGUUCGAACCUAUGUGUCGCCUCCA